GCGCUGAUGGUGUAGGGGUUAAGCGCGCGACCAUAUACGGAGGCUACAGUCCUCGAACCGGCACGUCCUGGGUUCAAGUCCCAGACCCAGCGACA